GCUGCUGUGGCUCAAUGAUUAGAGUAUUUCCCUGUGCACCAAAGGGCCACAGGUUCAAUUCCUGGUCAAGGGCA
rfam:Myotis brandtii contig154928, whole genome shotgun sequence.